GGUCAUUUUUGCCUGCUACUAACCCUCUUCCACCAGUAGGGGCGUUAGGAGCUGAGUUCUGGGUGGUCAGGUGUUUCGCAUGAGUGUCAUCAGCUGGAGGACUAUAAGAAGGAGGCGAGCCAGUACUUCGACGCCUGAGUGUUUUGCCUCUUCGUGGUUGAUCAAGCCUCGUUCAUGAGAGAUAUCAGAAGGAACUUACCAACAGUUUUUAAGGACUCUGGAUUCUUGUUUUGUUCCGCUGGCAGCCAGAUCUGACGUUGUCCUCACAGCUUCAAGCGAACCCUGUCCACCCUCCACCAUAACGGGCAGUGUUGCAUAGCCCGCCGCUCACCAAGAUCACAACCUCUCUCCCUGGCGGACUUAACCCUACCCAAUUCUCUCUGCUACUUCUGUUUCCUGCACCUGAGCCUGAAAAUAAAGUUUUCUUAAACGUU